CAGCAGCCACGGGAAUACGUAGGGUGCAAGCGUUAAUCGGAAUUACUGGGCGUAAAGCGUGAGCAGGCGGUUAUAUAAGACAGAUGUGAAAUCCCCGGGCUCAACCUGGGAACUGCAUUUGUGACUGUAUAGCUAGAGUACGGCAGAGGGGGAUGGAAUUCCGCGUGUAGCAGUGAAAUGCGUAGAUAUGCGGAGGAACACCGAUGGCGAAGGCAAUCCCCUGGGCCUGUACUGACGCUCAUGCACGAAAGCGUGGGGAGCAAACAGGAUUAGAUACCCGAGUAGUCCCUGUCUCUUAUAC
rnacentral:rRNA from 1 species